UGUGACCACAUUGGGUACAUCUCCUAUUUCUGCUUUGCGGUACUAAUUGCCGGUUUUAAUCGGCUUGCUGAGGAUAGGUGACUGAAUCUAGCAUGUUGGGACACGCGCACCGUGACCCUAAGUCCGAUAAUAUUGUCUUCCACAGUAAUUUUUCUCUUGGGAAAAGAAAAGUGUCCUUGAGAUGCAAUGCACGGAGGAAGGACCCUGGAAGCAGCCCAGGCUUGGAGGCAGUUCUUGAACCAUUCAGUGAAUGUGUACCGCUCUGAAGAGAAGGCCCAUCCGUGUAAGGACAGAUCUCUGGAGCUUUGGCAGGAUUUUCUGACAGAGCUGGUGGGUUGAACUGAAACUUCCGCAAGGAUCCCCUCAUCCUGGGUGAGAAGGAGGUUCCUGGAAAAAUUCUACUGCUGUAUCAAAAUCAGGUCUGGUAAAAAACCAACAGUCUCCAGAGACUUUUGCUAACCCCAGCCAGAUUCAAGCAUAUUUUAUGUCACUCCAGCUGCCUGGGCCAAGACCAACCUACAAAGUGCUCCCUAGACAAUGCCAAAGACCUGCACCAGCUCCUGGGACUUCACCAUUGGUACCAACUCUCCCGGAUUAAGGACACCUGCCAACUAAAAUCUGUUUUUUUUUUUCUGCUAUUGUGUCUCAUCCCAUGGCUAGCCCCAUUUCACAGGGCCAAUAAUAGCAAUAUUUUUUUUCUCCUAGCCUCCUGCCUUUUCCUCUCCCCAAGGGGGGGGGAGCUGCCUAAGGACCCCAGGAUGACAGCAAACCACAUACUGCCCCAGCCACACCUCUCCCAGAGUGUAAACCAACACCCAGCUCUCCUCUCUCCCACAUCGCCCCUUGCCCACAGGAAGAAGUCAGAUUUGAGCCAAUGCCCCUUUAUCCAAAGACAGCCUAAAUGUUGGUCAUAAAUAUCACCUCAGCUCCUUGUCACACCCCUAUAUCCAAAGAGUCUGGAAUGUAAGUGUCACCCCAUCCUGCCAAGCACUUAGACUCCAAUUCCCAGCCUGCCAAGCGCUGACCCCUCCCUGGGGAGGGUCAGGGCCACUCCCACUGGGUAUUUAGGGUCGCUGGAACAAAGAACACGUGGUUCUGGGUUUGUGUGUGCGCUCCCUCUGUCUUUCCCCUGCCAUGCUCCCGGCCACCAGGGAGUCUGCCUGUUAAACUUGGGGCAUUUAAUUUGGUUUAAUCUGGCCUGAUUGGAUUCCUUUGUGCCGGUGGAGAGGCUCUGUUAGAAAAGAUUCCUAAGAACAGGAACACUGUGUGGAUGAAUAUACAUAUCACACAGGUGCUGCUGCUGCAUGAACCACAAUGUCUGAUACACAUUACAAUUAGGCUCUUAUAAAAUGCUUAAUAUAAAGCAAAUGCAUUUCCAUAUGCUAGUCAGAAACUGUACCGUGCUCCCUGAGGGACAAGUGCUUAUACAGCACCGUGUAAGGUAUAAACAGUGAAGAGCAGAGCAACAAAGCCAACCUGAAAAGCUCAGGAACACAUGUGACCCAUGUCUGGCAUGAGACAGACGCUGCGUUGCUUCUUUGUCCUUCCUUCCUUCCUUCUUUCCUUCCUUCCUUCCUUCCUUCCUUCCUUCCUUCCUUCCUUCCUUCCUUCCGCAUUGCUUCUUUGUCCUUCCUUCCUUUUUUUUUUUCUCAAUGGGGUCUCUCUAGGUAUCCCUGGAAUUCCAGAACUUGCUAUGUAGAUCAGGCUAGCCUGGAACUCACAGAGAUCCACCUGCCUCUGCUUCUCUGGCACGGAGUCAAAGGCGAGACCUACCACACCUGUGUUCACUCCAUUUUCCUCUGUGAAACAUGGAGUUUCUGCUGGGUCGUCUGUAUUCUUACUGCCCUUUCUGGGCCCAGGAACUUUUGUACCAAGGCACUUGGGCUCUGCUCAGCGGAAUUGUUUCAUCUGCCAACCUGCCCACAGGGGAACCUUGUUUAGCCUGAGUCCAGAGCCUCCCGCAAGGUUUAGACCCCUGCUGCAGGAGAGAAAGGAGGAGAGUGAGGUCAGAAUUAGCAU